CAUUAAAGAAUUGGUGAUGCUCUGCGUCCCAUUCUCACCCUAUGUUUAUUAAACCUCAGUUGCUUUGGCCGUCAUACAGCCGGCCAAAGGACCCUGAACUCUUGAAUUAUUGCUGUCUGAGUAUAUAUAACAAUCGUUAAAACUUUCAACAACGGAUCUCUUGGUUCUGGCAUCGAUGAAGAACGCAGCGAAAUGCGAUAAGUAAUGUGAAUUGCAGAAUUCAGUGAAUCAUCGAAUCUUUGAACGCACAUUGCGCCCUCUGGUAUUCCGGGGGGCAUGCCUGUUCGAGCGUCAUUACAACCCUCAAGCAACGCUUGAUGUUAGGCCUGCCUUGAUUGGCGCGCCCUAAAAGAAGUGGCGGCUCCGUCCAGUCUCAAGCGUAGUAAUACUCGCCACUUGUUAGGCUUGGGCGAGAGCUUGCCAGAGAACCCCCAAUAUAUAUAUAUAUAUACACAAGGUUGAC
rnacentral:rRNA from 1 species